rnacentral:rRNA from 1 species
GACGAACGCUGGCGGCGUGCCUAACACAUGCAAGUCGAGCGAGUGAAUCUCCUUCGGGAGUGAAGCUAGCGGCGGACGGGUGAGUAACACGUGGGCAACCUGCCUCAUAGAGGGGAAUAGCCUUCCGAAAGGAAGAUUAAUACCGCAUAAGAUUGCAGCUUCGCAUGAAGUAGCAAUUAAAGGAGCAAUCCGCUAUGAGAUGGGCCCGCGGCGCAUUAGCUAGUUGGUGAGGUAACGGCUAACCAAGGCGACGAUGCGUAGCCGACCUGAGAGGGUGAUCGGCCACACUGGGACUGAGACACGGCCCAGACUCCUACGGGAGGCAGCAGUGGGGAAUAUUGCACAAUGGGGGAAACCCUGAUGCAGCAACGCCGCGUGAGUGAUGACGGCCUUCGGGUUGUGAAGCUCUGUCUUCAGGGACGAUAAUGACGGUACCUGAGGAGGAAGCCACGGCUAACUACGUGCCAGCAGCCGCAGUAAGAC